rnacentral:rRNA from 1 species
UACAGAGGUCUCAACCGUUGUUCGGAUUCAUUGGGCGUAAAGGGUGCGUAGGCGGGUCUUUAAGUCAGGGGUGAAAUCCUGGGGCUCAACCCCAGAACUGCCUUUGAUACUGGCGACCUCGAGUCCGGAAGAGGUGAGUGGAACUCCUAGUGUAGAGGUGGAAUUCGUAGAUAUUAGGAAGAACACCAGUGGCGAAGGCGGCUCACUGGUCCGGUACUGACGCUGAGGUGCGAAAGCGUGGGGAGCAAACAGG